rnacentral:rRNA from 1 species
AUGGCAGUGAGUGCGACGUCGGGGGUGUUGAACCCGCUCCUAGGCAAACUCUCCAGGCUGCUCGGCGAAGAAUACAAGAAGCUCACAGGUGUGAGGAAGCAGGCAUCUUUCCUCAAGGAUGAGCUCAGCGCCAUGAAAGCUCUCCUUGACAAAAUGGAGCCCAUGGACAAGCUCGAUCCAUCGGCCAAGGACUGGACGGACCACAUCAGGGAGAUGUCUUACGAUAUGGAGAACUGUAUUGAUGAUUUCAUUCAUGACAUUGAAGGUGCCAGAGCAAAGAAAGGCUUCGUCAGGAAGAUGGCUCAGCGCCUCAGGAGGCUGGGAAAGGGAAAGCGCCAUCAGAUUGCCAACCGCAUCGAUGAGCUCAAGGUUCUCGCGAUGGAGGCAAAUGCUCGGCGCAAGAGGUACAAUAUUGAUGCUUCCAUCAAUUCGAGUCCUGGCCCUGUGGUUGUGGAUCCCCGGAUCCCAGCGCUCUACGAGGAGGCAGCAGGCCUAGUUGGUAUUGAUGGCCCGAGAGAAGAGCUUGUUAGUUUGCUGAUGGAUUCCGAGAAGAAACUCAAAGUGGUUUCCAUCGUCGGGUUUGGAGGUUUGGGUAAAACCACGCUUGCCAAACAAGUGUAUGAUGAAAUUGGAAGGCAGUUUACACCCAAGGCAUUUUUCCCGGUCUCCCAAAGGCCAGAUGUGAAAAGCCUUCUUAGUGGCCUACAAUUAAAGCUUGGGAUGGCGAAUUCUUCUCAUGCUUCCGAGCUGCAAGAUAUUAUUGACAGCCUUAGAGAACACCUCAAACAUAAAAGGUACUUAAUUAUAGCUGAUGACGUGUGGGAUCAGUCAACAUGGAAUACUAUUAGGUGUGCCUUUCCAAACAAUACUAAUGGAAGUAGAGUAAUGGUAACCACGCGAUUGGAUGACGUAGCUACCACAACAUGUUUGAGUGAUCGUGCCUGCAUUUACAGUAUGAAGCCACUCAAAGAACAAGACUCAAGAAAAUUAUUUUUCGAGAGAGUAUUUGGGUCUGAAAAUGUAUGCCCACCACAGUUCAAAGAAAUUUCGGUUGAAAUUCUCAGGAAGUGUGGCGGGUUGCCACUUGCAAUUAUCACCAUAGCUGGCCUAUUAGCUAGCCAUGAAACAAGAUUGUUGAAUGAAUGGGAGAACAUAAAGAAUUCUCUUGGUGCUAGGUCUGCUACAAAACCCACCUUGGAAGAAAUGAGGGGUAUUCUGAAUCUUAGCUAUGUGCAUCUUCCUAUUUAUCUUCGGCCAUGUUUUUUGUAUCUUGGCAUGUAUCCAGAAGAUCGUGAAAUUGAGAGGGAUGAUCUCGUUCGGCAAUGGAUAGCCGAAGGCUUUGUUUGUAGUUUGCACAGAGCGGAUUUGGAUGAUGUUGGGAAAAGUUAUUUCAAUGAGCUUGUCAAUAGAAGUAUGAUUCAGCCCGGAAGAACAUCUUAUGGGGAGGUAAUCUCUUGUAGGGUGCAUGAUAUGAUGCUUGAUUUGAUCCUAAGCAAGAGUACAGAAGAUAAUUUUAUCAGUGUAGCAUAUAACUAUGAGGACAUGGCCAGAUUGCCCAGUUGUAAGUACAAGGUUCGUCGAUUAUCCUUCCAAUCAGGUGUAGGUGGUGCAAAGUCGGAGGCCCUUGCUAAUGGCAUGUCACAAGUUCGA